rnacentral:lncRNA from 1 species
UCUAACGAGUUCCUCUUCAAUCUCCUCCUAGUAUCUGUGAGAUCUUCUAAUGACAAGGACGAAGGUGGCAAUAACGUUUUCAGAUGAGAUUUCCUGGGGCAGCUCCAAGCAGUAGGCCGGCGAUGCGCGCGGCGUCUUCUCCGUGAUCGCCCCAAUCUAUUGUGAUCGAAGCCAAAACGGGCAUCUGGAUCAAGCUCAGUAUGAGAAUCAAAUGAUCAUUGCCUACGCGUGCUUGGCGAGUGAAAGAGGCUAAAAGUUUGUUUGGCUGAAUUCUGGAAAGUAGUGAAUCAGAUGAUAAACAGCAUUUACCUCGAACCGCCAUCUGGACGAACUUGGAAAUCUGUUCCGCUUUGCGCUUCAAAGGCUUACUAUAAGAACAGGAGCUUUUUCUGUUCUGUUGUUUUUCUUUUCUUUUUUUUAUUCAAUUCACUUUCAGAUUGAAU